rnacentral:rRNA from 1 species
UACGUAGGGUGCGAGCGUUGUCCGGAAUUAUUGGGCGUAAAGAGCUUGUAGGCGGUUUGUCGCGUCUGCUGUGAAAUUUCGGGGCUCAACCCCGAACUUGCGGUGGGUACGGGCAGACUAGAGUGAUGGUAGGGGAGACUGGAAUUCCUGGUGUAGCGGUGAAAUGCGCAGAUAUCAGGAGGAACACCGAUGGCGAAGGCAGGUCUCUGGGCAUUAACUGACGCUGAGGAGCGAAAAGCGUGGGGAGCGAACAGG